CAUGCCUUUUUUAUAUUUACUCGCUUCCUCUUCCGCCCACUCCCGCGCUCGCUAGCCCCCCACAUCCAAGCAAACCUGACUGUCUCCUCUCCUUUUGCCUUCUCCAUUGUCCCCUGCACAUUCGUUUUCCGCCUCUGUGCAUCUGUCCUUCGCCCAUGCUCUGCAUCGCCUAACGGUUCCACUCUCCCUUCGACUCUUGCUCCUUGAUCGCGCACACAGAGGGUGGAUCCUUCCCUACCCGUGCCCGCUCAUAUUUGCCCGUAUUCACUUUUAACCUACCUCGACAUAAGAUCUGUCGCUGGGAUUUCGUGGGAGCAGAUUCUGCCUUGACAUUUAGAAUCAACUGGAAUCGUUUACAGCAAUUCGUGGUCUCUUGCACAAUUCGUGGUCUCUGAUGGUAGUAUGAAGGCCAAAAAAUUCAAGCCCCGCUGCAAAACGGUCCUACCCCGUGCUGUCACGCAGCCAGCCCGAAUAUCACGCAGGAUGGUAAGUCCUCAAUCAGCCCAAAAAGAAAAGAAAAGAAAAAGCCUGUUGCGGUUGAUUAUGUUUUUCCGGCCGCCCAUUUAUGCCACUUUGCCCUGCUUCACUCUGCUGUGAUCGAAAAGGGGUGUCGUCAAUUACAACAAGAAUCGAUUUUGAUAGUACUGUUAGUACUGUCCCGUCCUUCUGGAUCCUGAACCCGCAUCAAAAUCGCCGGUUCUUCUCCUUUUUGUGGGUUCAUAAUUUAGUACACUGUAAGAUCAAUACUCGCAGUUGAACAUUACGCUGCUAAUUAUAUUUCAACGCCAUUAUGGAUCACUCAAAACCAUGUGCAGCAUAGAACUAGCCAGUGAAGCUGCACUACCAUGAGUGUAUACCAUGGUUUCAAACAAAAUACUUUCUUCGAAAGGUUUUCUCUGCCAACGGUUUUACCCCUUCUCAGGUGUGUUUGCAGUGAUGGUAUCUAUAGUUGUUUAACUCCCUCUUGCUAGCAACUGAUGCCUAUUCUUUCACUGUACAUUUGCGUCAGUGAUUACUGCUAUGAGGUUCCUUUGUCAGCAUCCUUCAAAAUUAUAAGACGUAUUAUGCCUCACUCAGUUAGAGGUCUCCUAAAAAACAUAGACCAUAAAUUUUCUUCUUGUUUAUAUUAAUUUUGGGACUUAAGGUAGAAUUGGAAAGAGGAAAAAGUAUUAGCAUAUCAAUUUCAAGAAAAAUAAGUCUGAUGAAAGCAAGGUUUAUGAGCUGUUCUAUUCAAUUAAUGGAUAAGCCUCUGACCCACUUUCUAGAGUCUUUAUUGUAAUUAUUCCAUGAGUUUCAACUUUCAAGCAUAUGAACUCUAUUCAAUUUUCCUUUGAACGAUACUGUUCAAAAUUUCCUAAGGCUAUACAUAUAUAUACAUUAAUAAUUAAUGUCAUAUAAAAUAUAAUAUAAUCCAUCGUGAUUUUGUUCGACUUCCAGUGUGCUUAGGUUUCUUCUCAUGUACUAUUUUGCACAGAAAAAAAUCUGUCGGUUCCUCUAUUACCUCACUGUACAAGUGACUGGAAAAGCAAAUUUGCCCUUGUGUAGAUUUUACAUCUUUUUUCGAUUGGAGGGAAAGAGAGGACAAUAUAUUGAGUGAUCUUUCCCAUAGUUGUAUAUUGACCUAAUUGCACCAUAUUUUGCUAGCUAUGAAUUCAAAGCUUCACAAUGCAGCAUGCUUUGAUAAUAUAUAUAAAAUAUUACUGUCUUAUGAAAGUCUGGCUAAUAAGUACCUUGCAAGGAUUUUCAUGUUCUAAUCAGUGAGGUUACUGCAAUCUUGCAUCUUUCAAGAAUUAAGUACACAUAUUUAGUUAUAUGCAUUUUCCUUUGAAGUGUAAUGAGUGUAUCCAUUGUGUUCAAUGCUGAAGUUUACAUAUGCGUAUUUAUGUACAAAUAUAUAUACUUGUAUAUGUAUAUAGGUUUUGCAGAUUUACUUCACUACUGACCAUCUAUCUUUGUUAGUUUCUUUUUCAUUAUAUCUGCUUCUUGGGGUAUUUUUAAGAGCAAGCUUCAAGUACAAUAAUGGCUAAUGUUGCCCUUUAGUUAAGCUGAGAUUAGGUUGGACUUUUAUUUGCUACAUUUGAUUAUCUGUAUAUAGGUGAAAAACUGUUGUUAAGAUGCACUUUUUGAUUAUGCAUGUUUCCACGCAUAAAUAUAGUUUUUCUUUUCCCAGUUGAAAUUCAUCUACCAGCUAUUUAUCACAUCCCAAACUUUGCAAUUAUUGAUGGUUUUGGACCAUUUUCCACUGGGCUCUUUCUAUAUACCUUCGAUCUAUUGGAAAGGUUAUAUUGAGAGGUGGUAAUUUCUUCAAUCGCAUCGUACCUAUUCUCUUUGGGCUGUAUUGUUAUGCUUUCAUUGAAUCAAUAGAUACAGAUAUUCUCUAUUAGUAAAGACUAUAUUUUCUAUAGUUUUUUGUCACUGCCCUAUAGUUCUUUGUGGGUAUGUGCCUCCUCUUUAGAGUACACCUACUCCAAAUCUGGACUUUUGUUUUUGGAGUUCCUCGUUUGCAGGCAAACAAAGUGGGAAGAAACAGAAUUGUUUUUUCAUGGGCUUUUCAAGAGAACGCCAUACGGAAGAAUUAGAAUAUGUUAGGAAAUGAAAGACUACUCUUUGCUCAAGGAUUGUGGACUGGUAAUUUGAGCUAGAGAAGAUGGUCUCAUUCAUAUAUAUAUAUAUAUAUAUAUAUUCUAGGUCGAAAUUUUGAACUCCAGUUCUUUCCCUUAAACACUCAUUCAUCAGGUACCACUAACUAAUGUUAAAUGGUUCAACUUCAACUAGGUAUUCUGGUUUAAUUUCUUAUAAUUGAAACCAAGCUUAUGUCA